rnacentral:rRNA from 1 species
CAGUAGCGUAUAUUAAAGUUGUUGCAGUUAAAAAAGCUCGUAGUUGGAUUUCUGGUUGACCGGCAGGGCCCGCCUCCAUCUCGGAGGUUGUGUGCUAUGCGUGCGUUUACCAUCCUUCCAGACAGCUGUGCCUACCCUUGAUUGGGCAGGGCGCGUGCCAUCUGGAUCAUUUACUUUGAAAAAUUAGAGUGUUCAAAGCAGGCUUACGCUGUGAAUACAUUAGCAUGGAAUAAUAAUAUAGGACUUUGGUUCUAUUUUGUUGGUUUCUAGGACUAAAGUAAUGAUUGAUAGGGAUCGUUGGGGGUGCUCUUAUUGCUCGGCCAGAGGUGAAAUUCUUGGAUUCGAGCAAGAAGAACUACUGCGAAAGCAUUCACCAAGGAGGUCUUCUUUAAUCAAGAACGAAAGUUGGGGGAUCGAAGACGAUCAGAUACCAU